AACGAACGCUGGCGGCAUGCCUAACACAUGCCAGUCGAACGAGACCUUCGGGUCUAGUGGCGCACGGGUGCGUAACGCGUGGGAACCUGCCCUUAGGUUCGGAAUAACUCCCCGAAAGGGGUGCUAAUACCGGAUAAUGUCUUCGGACCAAAGAUUUAUCGCCUUUGGAUGGGCCCGCGUUGGAUUAGCUAGUUGGUAGUGUAAAAGCCUACCAAGGCGACGAUCCAUAGCUGGUCGGAGAGGAGGAUCAGCCACACUGGGACUGAGACACGGCCCAGACUCCUACGGGAGGCAGCAGUGGGGAAUAUUGGACAAUGGGCGAAAGCCUGAUCCAGCAAUGCCGCGUGAGUGAUGAAGGCCUUAGGGUUGUAAAGCUCUUUUACCCGGGAUGAUAAUGACAGUACCGGGAGAAUAAGCUCCGGCUAACUCCGUG
rnacentral:rRNA from 1 species